rnacentral:rRNA from 1 species
CAGCAGCCGCGGUAAUACAGAGGGUGCAAGCGUUAAUCGGAAUUACUGGGCGUAAAGCGCGCGUAGGUGGUUUGUUAAGUUGGAUGUGAAAUCCCCGGGCUCAACCUGGGAACUGCAUCCAAAACUGGCAAGCUAGAGUAUGGUAGAGGGUGGUGGAAUUUCCUGUGUAGCGGUGAAAUGCGUAGAUAUAGGAAGGAACACCAGUGGCGAAGGCGACCACCUGGACUGAUACUGACACUGAGGUGCGAAAGCGUGGGGAGCAAACAGGAUUAGAUACCCCUGUAGUCCCUGUCUCUUAUAC